rnacentral:rRNA from 1 species
UGGGGAAUAUUGGACAAUGGGCGAAAGCCUGAUCCAGCCAUGCCGCGUGUGUGAAGAAGGUCUUCGGAUUGUAAAGCACUUUAAGUUGGGAGGAAGGGUUGUAGAUUAAUACUCUGCAAUUUUGACGUUACCGACAGAAUAAGCACCGGCUAACUCUGUGCCAGCAGCCGCGGUAAUACAGAGGGUGCAAGCGUUAAUCGGAAUUACUGGGCGUAAAGCGCGCGUAGGUGGUUUGUUAAGUUGGAUGUGAAAUCCCCGGGCUCAACCUGGGAACUGCAUCCAAAACUGGCAAGCUAGAGUAUGGUAGAGGGUGGUGGAAUUUCCUGUGUAGCGGUGAAAUGCGUAGAUAUAGGAAGGAACACCAGUGGCGAAGGCGACCACCUGGACUGAUACUGACACUGAGGUGCGAAAGCGUGGGGAGCAAACAGGAUUAGAUACCCUAGUAGUCCCUGAGCGGGCUGGCAAGGCGCAU